rnacentral:rRNA from 1 species
AUCAACUUUCGAUGGUAGGAUAGAGGCCUACCAUGGUGGUAACGGGUAACGGGGUGUUAGGGCACGACACCGGAGAGGGAGCCUGAGAAACGGCUACCACAUCCAAGGAUGGCAGCAGGCGCGCAAAUUACCCAAUCCCGACACGGGGAGGUAGUGACAAUAAAUAACAAUACGGGGCUCUUUAGGGUCUCGUAAUUGGAAUGAGUACAAUUUAAAUCUCUUAACGAGGAACAAUUGGAGGGCAAGUCUGGUGCCAGCAGCCGCGGUAAUUCCAGCUCCAAUAGCGUAUAUUAAAGUUGUUGCAGUUAAAAAGCUCGUAGUUGAAUUUCGGGAUCAGCAGGUUGGUCGUGCCUCUGGUAUGCACUGGUUUCGCUGAUUCCUCCUCUCUGAAGAACUGUAAUGUCAUUAAUUUGGUGUUGCAGGGAAACAGGACUGUUACUUUGAAAAAAUUAGAGUGUUUAAAGCAAGCUAACGCUUGAAUACAUUAGCAUGGAAUAAUGAAAUAGGACGUUUGAUCCUAUUUUGUUGGUUUCUAGGAUUGACGUAAUGAUUAAUAGGGAUAGUUGGGGGCAUUAGUAUUCAAUUGUCAGAGGUGAAAUUCUUGGAUUUAUUGAAGACUAACUACUGCGAAAGCAUUUGCCAAGGAUGUUUUCAUUAAUCAAGAACGAAAGUUAGGGGAUCGAAGACGAUCAGAUACCGUCGUAGUCUUAACCAUAAACUAUGCCGACUAGGGAUCGGAUGAUGUUAAUUUUUUAAUGACUCAUUCGGCGCCUUACGGGAAACCAAAGUGUUUGGGUUC